UAAGACCGUACUUUUUAGGAUCAUUUCUAUAGUACGUGUCCCGUCUUUGUUCUCUAACAUAGACAACAUUCGCAACCACGAUGAUGAGUUGUAGCGCCUUCUUCUGAGCGGGAAGCAGAUUGCUGAUGUUGCCUUUAUGGUAACACUUAGUAAUCAUUGAUGACCGUUCCCUUUCGUUCUUCGGAAGGUCAGGGAGGAAGAAUGCGCAUUCUGAGUGGU